rnacentral:rRNA from 1 species
CGCUGGCACCUGUGUUCAUUUCGCAGGUCAGGGGGGUUGUGUCUCCUAGGGCUCGUGUUGACAGAAGAAGGUGUAGUGAUCCAGGUGGACCCGCUGAUCUUUGUCGUCUCGUAUCGAUCGUCUGUGCGUGUUCUCUGUCGGUACACCCCGGGCUCUAUGUCUGACACGCACGUAGGAAGGAAGUAGGAGGAGGUGGUGGUGAGGAGGGGAGGGGACAAAGGCGAGGCGGGGGCCAUUUGGGGGUAGGGCAGGGCUAGGGGUGUGGUGGGGAGGGGCCUCCUUAGAAACGAGGGAGGGUGAAUAUAUUUGGGGAGAGGCGGUGAGGUGAGAGGGUCUAGAUGUAGGAGGGAGGUGGGGCAGAGCGGCCGGCGGGCCGGCGGGGGGUUAGCACGCAGCCUGCUCCGGUGCCGCUACCUAGAGGAGCGCCGGCGGGCCGGGGUCACCGAGGAGCGGCCGCGUCGCGACGACGAGCGGUGGCAGCGGAAGGAGUCCCAGGAGGAGCCGGGGCCGCCGCCGCCGUCCGCCCGCGGCGGCUACUAGGGCCCCCGCGGGCAGCACCCGCCCGACGACGCGAAGGACGCCCCGGGGUAGGGCGAGUAGGCCCGGCUCAUGCGGGCGGAGCCGGGGCAGAAGUGGCAGGGGUAGGAGUGGGCGGCCUAGUGGAAGGAGUAGCCGGGGCUGCAGAGCCGCGUGAAGAAGUUCUCGUUGCUCAGGCUGUACUCGGUCGUCCUCCAGAUGGCGAAGUUGCAGGGGUGGAAGCCGGGGCCCCAGCAGAAGCUGCAGCUGAUGGUCCAGUCCGUCCUCGUCAAGUCCAAGAAGUGGCUCCGCGAGUCCCGGUUGUUCGAGGCGUCGAUGCAGCUGGUCUACCAACGGCUCCGGCUCCUCAUGAAGAGUUUCACCCCUCUUUCGCCGUGACACCUAGACUUCAUACUUAACCUCGUGGAGUAGUAUGACUGACGAUCGGCUACGAACAACCCUUCCCUUCACGCUCUUUUCAACAAACUACUACAAAGACGAGAGAAGGUACUAGAACUGUUACCCUACGUCGGUUAGUCACAGUAGAAAGGGAUGGAGGGUUAGGGACGUGUGGCAGCGGCACUGGUCCGUGCCUGUGCAAACCGCCUCUAGAAGCGGUGGUAGUAGUUCAGGGCGUUCCGGAGACCUGUCAGGCUCCUUCUGUACGACGUCACGAAGUAACUAAGGUUCAUGUUCUUACCGGCGGUCUGGUGUCUUUCACUCCACUGACCCGAUGAAUAGCGUCGGGACAAACGACCUGUCGUGUGAUCGAGCUAGUGGAGUUGGACCUGACCCCGGAUGGACGAGUUCAAGGUCGUCAUGAAACGUCUCCGACAUCUCCUCGUCUUCCUCCAGUACUUCUCCGUACCACUGUUCUAGCUAGUACUGUAGAACCGUCUCUACCUACAGGAGAUGGCCACGUAGUUCCUCCGCGAGGCCGAGGUGGGCGGCGACUAGUACGACGAAGCGGUUAGUGUGAGACUGAAGUCGCACUGGUGCUCCCUUCCGUUUCUCAAACUAUAGGGGUUCCCGGUGUAACAGCGUUGUAGAGGACGAAAGCGAUUGUCCGAGGGGGUAUAGAAGUUCUUGGGCCUGAGCAUACUGGGACUGGCCAAACGCCGACCCUCCCUCCUCCUGUUCCAACGCCCACGGAAGAGCAUGUAGAGGAAACCCCCACCGUCCGUGCCCACGGAGCCACUCGGGAAGCGCAUGGACGUCUAGUUCCGCUAUACCUGUGUGGAGGACUCCUUGAAACUCAAACUCGACCAGAGUGGCAAGGGACUCUUGCUGACCUUACGCUACCAGCAGCCGUAGUUCCCGCUCCAUUACCAGUUGAUGUUCGCCGCCUUCGAGCAGCAGCUGUUGAUCUCUCGCCCACCAGGGUAUCCCCUGCACCCCACAAACGAAGACAUAAAGAAGGUAAAUGCAAAACAACAGGCGUGCGGUUGGACAUCCCAUAUAGAUAGAAGUGGUAACAAAUCCCAUGACACUAAACGAAGGUCACUAAAUCGGCACAUCGUAGUCUUACAACAAAGAGAAAGGAAAGUAGAAACGACAACAGGUGAGAGAAUCUGCCCAAGUCUGUAUUUUACACUUGUCUGUUGUGAUACAUUCCUUGUGUUGUUGACACUGUCAAGUAAGUUUUACGUGAAGAACGAAAACGAGUG